GCCUGGUUCCUGAUGUUCUGUGGCAAGGAAUCUGGCUCCCUGGGAACAGGGCGAGGAGGAGAACUCACAGAGAGGGAGGCUGCAGGGUGAGCCCCCACUCCCGUCCUCUGCGUAGGAAUAGGAAGAGCACGAGCUGGAGGUCCUGGUCCUGGUCUCCAAGGGGGGCGAGCGAGGACAGACUUUGAUUGGCACCGGGCAGCUAGUGUUGGGCCGUAUCCUUCCUGGCAAAUGGUCAGCCAUCAGCCCACCGUGGGAGUAGGCCUGUGAGCUGGGGAGGGACUGGCCAGCCCCCACCCACAGACCCUUUGGCACCGGCUCAGAGAGGUCUUUGUCCAAACUGCUUACCCCAGAAUAUGAAUGCACCGCAGUGCUCACUUGGUCACAAGCGCUCGAGGAGAAGAUCACACUUCUCCGGUCCAGCUCUCCUUCCUGUUUACAGAGAGCCUCCAACCCAGGCCCCUUGAGGGGCGACCCCAUGGUGAAGUUGGACACGUCCUUCUGGCCCAGGUGGGGCUGUCCGUAACUCCCCGGGAAAGGGGUGUAGUCAGUUUUAAGGUCACCCUGAGUGAUCCCCUUGUCAAAAGGGCACGCUGAACUCCUGGCAAAGUGCUGCUGAGAGGUACCGGGCAGGCCAGACAACUCCACACUUUUUGUUAUGAACAGAGACCUUAAGCAGGAGGGGGAGGACACACUCCCGGAUCUCUCCAGGCAGGUGGCCCCGGCAGGGGGGGCGGGGGCGGGGGCAGGGCUGGGCUGUUUCCGGUCCAUUUCGACGUCCCCCGCUCUGUCCUUGAUGUCAGGCUCAUCUCCGGACAGGCAGAGCGCGAUGCUCUCUUCCUCGUUCUCUUCACUGGGCGGCUCACUUUUAAUCUGCCCCAUGGCAAGCCCCGGCUUGAGGCUGUUGCCAGAGUUAUCUUCACUGAAUGUGCUUGCAAAACCUGAGGUACUGUGUGAUGAUGCAUUAUAGACAUUCUUGGUACAUGCAAGCUGGUAUUUCUUGUAUCUGGGGUACUGCCUUAACGCGUCCUUCUCGGAGCUCUCCUUGCUGUCAGGCGGCACAUCGGACUCGGGCAGCAAAGCUUCUUCCUUCUCUGCUACUGGGAUGGCAGCGGCCUCAAAGCUGAUGGGGUCUGGAAGCAUCUGGUCCCUGGGGCAAGCCACCUUGGCCGUGUCCGAGUCCAUCGUCUCCUCCUCUUCCUCCUCCUCCUCCCCCGCGGAGUUCUCACGGUCCUCGUGCGCGCGGGGGCACGCAGCGUCCUUUCGGCACACGAACAGGCCAUCCUCGCUGUUCAGGAGCUGGGUCUGCAGGAAGCUGAAGCAGGAGUCCUCCAGGUUAUGCAUGCGCAGGAACUCGGCGCAGCGGAUGACCUCGCGGAUGUUUUCUCUGCUGAGUAAUAGCUUGGCGGUGUAGGCAAACUGUAACAGCGGCCCGAAGCCCCUGGCCGUGACCUGCAAAACAAACAGGGAAAUUGCCGACGUUACCAUCAGCACCGCUAUUGUCCCGAAUCCCUCAACUGAAGCAAGAUAACCAGACAGUGCUAAUGUCCCAGAAUAAAGACUGCAAAGGAGCAGUUAAUCUCGUACUGGGUCAGCAAUGAUUCUGCUUCCAAUAAUUAGUGCCUGUCUCGUGCACGCCUGGGCUCCACUUCAUCACCUGGCACACAGAAUUGAAAAUCACCAGGGUCAAGUGGCUAAACAAGAUGACAAGGGGUUCAGUGUUUACGCUAAUGAAAUAUCCUGGCAAAAAUGCACGGUAACAAUGGGAAGCCUAUUAAUUUCCCUCCCUGUCAGUGCUGUGGAGAGCCAUUCUACAUAAGGAGUGCUGUGACACUUGCUGAUCACUUGAGCCAAAGAGAGCAACAGACUUUCCUUGUCAACUGCAAAACUGGCAAUAUGGCCUGUUAAAAACCGAAAGUCUACAGGGGGUGAAGAACAGUGUUCCCUCACUUAAAAAGUUACAAAGUGGCAUUGAAGCAAUUUCUGUCUUUCUCAUUCAUCACGGUUUCUGGCUGGGACUUUUCAGUCAUCAUGUCAUACCUGAUCUUGCAAUGAUAGCAGAGAUAAUGAUAAUCCGAAGUGGUGUUCUCAACAAGAACUCAACUCCUGGCCCAUAAAGAAUGGGGGUUACAGAGCUAAACAAAUCAGCUGUCAUUUAUAUGGUUGAAGUUUGCUGAGUGGCCCAGGACACGGGCUAUUCCUUUCCUAAUCAUAAGCAGCCGCUUUGCCAUGCAGCUGUCUUUCCCGACAAAUCUUCAGAGGCUCAGCCUACUGUCAGGUGCUCCUCAUUUCUUUACAUUUUAUAGAUUGAAAAUGUGCUAUUUACGCACAGUUUUGCGUAUGCACACACACCCAUCACAGAGAUUGACUUCAACAAUUAGAAACGCAUGGCCUAAGGCAGACUGUUUUUUCAGAUGGAAGUGGGUCAAACUCGCUGGUGUUCAGGAAAGGCUUUCUCACCCUACAUGCCAAACCUACAUGCAUCUUCUAGGUUCCUGCAAGUGCUGCUGACCCCAUAGCAAGGAGAGGCAGGUCUACGGAUCAUGUGUACAAGUCAAAUGGACACAGUAAUCAUGGGGUCCUUGCUGGAAGCUGUAGUAACAGUGAUUGAAAGAUGUCUGCUAAGGGAAUAAGUGCACAGCAAGUUGAAUUGGCAAGUUCUGUAGCUGACUUCCACGUGUACUGAACUCACUGCAGCACACAGAGCCAAAACUCUGGUGAGGAC
rnacentral:lncRNA from 1 species